rnacentral:lncRNA from 1 species
AAAUGACUUUUUUUUGGGUUAAUUUUAUACAAGUCUCUACAAAUAUAGUGAAUUGCAAAUAUACCUUUACAAUGUUCAACUUUCAUAUGUUACCUCUGUAAAAGUCCUAAUAUUUUAAAUAUGUCUUUCUGAUUUGUUACCGUUAAAAUACUGUCUAUUUUAUAAGUGAAAUAAUCUUUUUACCAUCACAAAUACAUCCCUCUAAAAAUUUCAACUGUUAAUUGAAGAGGGGUAAAAAGGUUAAUUCAUCUCAUUAACUAACCAUGUUAAGUAUUUAACUCGUGGUUAACUAAAUAUUUCUGACGAAUUCUAAUAGCAAAGAUAUAUUUGAAAACAUCAGGACUUUUAUAGGGACAACCUAUGAAAGUUAAACUUUGUAGGGAUAUAUUUGCAAUUUACUAUAUUUGUAGGGAUCUGUAUGAAAUUAACCCUUUUUUUUUAGAAAAAGGUAGCAUGCUGCCCAACUUUUAUAUUUUUUAAUAAUAAAUUUCGUUGAAAAUGAGAAGCAACUAAACUUCAAAGUUGGGACUUCAAAUACCAAUCAUUAAAUUCUUUGUCACCUACGGUAAGGACAACCAAUCUAAAUUGGCAACUUUAACCUUACUAUACGAAACCUUUAUGUCACAGUAUAUGUUAGACUCUCAUAUAUACCAGGGUAAAAUUAUCACUUUGCACCAGGGUAAAAAAAAAAGGCUUAAUGCAGAGUAUGUUACUAUCAGGCAUAAAGAUUAUUUGGAUGUCAGAACAAGGAAAUUUUUCUUUUUUUUUUUGAGAGAUAGGUAGUAUGCCACCCGUUUCGUUUAUUUCAUUAAGAAAUAAAAUUCGCUAAAAAUGUAAAUCAAUUAGGAUUCAAACUUGGGACCUCGAAUACCAACUAUCAAGCUCUUUGCCACUUGCUCUAAGAACAGUUGGUAAAAAAAGGCCAGAAUUAUAAUAACAAAACGUACAAAGUUUAGAAACUAAAAUUAUUCAAGUGAAAUAAAUUCAAAAACUCAGUUUACAAUAUCACAAAAGGUACAUCAAUACUCUCUCAUAAAUGCACAUAGUUACUUGAUAGAUGACUUAAUUAGUAGACAAAG